rnacentral:rRNA from 1 species
GUCCACGCUGUAACUAUGAACACUAGGUAUUGGAGGAUUUGACCCUUCAGUGCCGUAGCUAACGCGUUAAGUGUUCCGCCUGGGAAGUACGGUCGCAAGACUAAACUCAAAGGAAUUGACGGGGCCCGCACAAGCGGUGGAUUAUGUGGUUUAAUUCGAAGCAACGCGCAGAACCUUACCAAGGCUUGAAAUCCUACGAAUCCCUUUUAAAACGAGGGAGUGCUCUUCGGAGAAUGUAGUGACAGGCGCUGCAUGGCUGUCGU